rnacentral:rRNA from 1 species
UACGGAGGGGGCUAGCGUUGUUCGGAAUUACUGGGCGUAAAGCGUGCGCAGGCGGUGAUGUAAGACAGUUGUGAAAUCCCCGGGCUCAACCUGGGAACUGCAUCUGUGACUGCAUCGCUGGAGUACGGUAGAGGGGGAUGGAAUUCCGCGUGUAGCAGUGAAAUGCGUAGAUAUGCGGAGGAACACCGAUGGCGAAGGCAAUCCCCUGGACCUGUACUGACGCUCAUGCACGAAAGCGUGGGGAGCAAACAGG